AUCUGAUAGUAGACAUCGCCCCCCAGUCUGGAGGUUGCAGAUCUACGACUGAUCCUAACUUGGAAGAGCAAUGAAGAAAUCCAUUCAAGCUGUAUUCAUGUUCUUGUGGCUGCCGCUGGACUGGGUGAGCCGUGGAGAAAAUGUGGAGCAGCGUCCUUCUACUCUGCGUGUCCUGGAGGGAGACAGCUCUGUCAUCAACUGUUCUUAUUCUGACAGUGCCUCAGACUACUUCCCCUGGUAUAAGCAAGAACCUGGAAAAGGUCCCCAGCUCAUUAUAGAUAUUCGUGCAAAUAAGGACAAAAACCACGACCAAAGACUCACUGUUUUUUUAGAUAAGGCAAAGAAACACUUCUCCCUGCACAUCGCGGCCACCCAACCUGGAGACUCAGCCAUUUACUUCUGCGCAGCAAGGGCACAGUGCUUCCCGGGCACCUGCUGCCUGCACCCAAACCCAAGGCUGCAACUGAAGCCCCACCCCUUCCCUCUGUACAGGUCUUCAAAUGCAGCAUUUGUCAUAGUGUUUCUUUGCAAGUUGGAAACUAACAUAUGGGGUGAACAGCAUAAUGUUUUGAUACACAUGUACAAAUUUCACAAACCAAAAAAUCGACAGCUGGAUGAGCAGGCUAUGAGGAAGGAGGCAGGGAGCUUCCACACUGUCUCCAGGGAUGCUACCGUCAGGCAUCGGCAUGUGUUGAAGCUGCACUGA